AACGAACGCUGGCGGCAGGCCUAACACAUGCAAGUCGAGCGCUCUAGCAAUAGGGAGCGGCGCACGGGUGCGUAACGCGUGGGAAUGUACUCCUUGGUACGGAACAACAUCGGGAAACUGAUGCUAAUACCGUAUAAUAUCUCCGGAUCAAAGAUUUAUCGCCAAGGAAUCAGCCCGCGUCAGAUUAGCUAGUUGGUGAGGUAAUGGCUCACCAAGGCUACGAUCUGUAGCUGGUCUUAGAGGAUGAUCAGCCACACUGGAACUGAGACACGGUCCAGACUCCUACGGGAGGCAGCAGUGAGGAAUCUUGGACAAUGGGGGCAACCCUGAUCCAGCCAUGCCGCGUGAGUGAUGAAGGCCUUCGGGUUGUAAAGCUCUUUUAGCUGUGAAGAUAAUGACGGUAACAGCAGAAAAAGCCCCGGCUAACUUCGUGCCAGCCGCCGCAGUAAUAC
rnacentral:rRNA from 1 species